rnacentral:tRNA from 1 species
GGGCUCGUAGCUCAGUUUGGUUAGAGCGCGUCCCUGAUAAGGACGAGGUCACAGGUUCGAAUCCUGUCGGGCCCA